GACGAACGCUGGCGGCGUGCUUAACACAUGCAAGUCGAACGAAGUGGCGCACGGGUGAGUAACGCGUAAUCAACCUGCCCUUCAGAGGGGGAUAACAGUUGGAAGCGACUGCUACUGACGCAUACUGAAGGAGGGGAUUGGGUAGGAUUAGCUAGUUGGAGGGGGAACGGCCCACCAAGGCGAUGAUAAGUAGCCGGUCUGAGAUGAUGAACGGCCACAUUGGGACUGGGACACGGCCCAGACUCCUACGGGGGGCAGCAGUUGGGAAUCUUCCGCAAUGGACGAAAGUCUGACGGAGCAACGCCGCGUGAGUGAUGACGGCCUUCGGGUUGUAAAGCUCUGUUAAUCGGGACGCGGUACCGGAAUAGAAAGCCACGGCUAACUACGUGCCAGCAGCCGCGGUAAUAC
rnacentral:rRNA from 1 species